rnacentral:rRNA from 1 species
AACGAACGCUGGCGGCAUGCCUAACACAUGCAAGUCGAACGAGACCUUCGGGUCUAGUGGCGCACGGGUGCGUAACGCGUGGGAACCUGCCCUUAGGUUCGGAAUAACUCCCCGACAGGGGUGCUAAUACCGGAUAAUGUCUUCGGACCAAAGAUUUAUCGCGUUUGGAUGGGCCCGCGUUGGAUUAGCUAGUUGGUAGGGUAAAAGCCUACCAAGGCGACGAUCCAUAGCUGGUCUGAGAGGAAGAUCAGCGACACUGGGACUGAGACACGGCCCAGACUCCUACGGGAGGCGGCAGUGGGGAAUAUUGGACAAUGGGCUGAAGCCUGAUCCAGCAAUGCCGCGUGAGUUAUGAAGGCCUUAGGGCUGUAAAGCUCUUUUACCCGUGAUGAUAAUGACAGUACCGGGAGAAUAAGCUCCGGCUAACUCCGUG